AAAUUUUAUCUGAUUGUGUCCCUAUCGGCUCAGGGGUUAACCCGUCAACGAUCCGGUGUUGGAUCACGGAGAGGCAGUGUCUCACGGAAAUGGGCCAGGAGGGGCCCAUUUCACAAGAAUUUUUAUUUACCUCUUCUUCCAUUUUUCCAUAUCCUUUUUCCUUUUAUAAAAUUUUAUCGAACAUUUUCAACGCAAAGGACAUUACAAUAAUUGUACUCCAUCACACGAAGAAUAUUUGUGUUGGCACAGUUUAUUAAUAUAGAGAAAAUUACAUGUUUGAAUAACUAUGAAUUUCAGGUAGAGACAAGCGGAAUCCUCUAUCACAGGUGCUGCAAAUAAAUAAAAUAGAAGAGGCUCCAUGUGACGGCAUUAAGAGUACAGUGAAACUAACGUUCAAAUAAAUAAAAAUAUGUGUACAUACACAAAUAAUAAUUCAGCUUCGAGGUGCCGCUUGACACAUCAUUUGCGAGCAGACACAUCAGUAAGUGUAUCUACCUUGAGAUUCCGGCUGCUUAGCGUUUAUGUACAAAAUAUAUAUUUGAAAAUGUCUAAUACUAAUGAAAUAUCUCUUUGAGUAAAA